rnacentral:lncRNA from 1 species
AAGCAUUUAUCCUGUGAUGGAGAAGCAUUAUAACCAUAGGUGACUAAGUGUAACCUGAGGAACUUCAGAUAUUGGUGGAGCUGGGAUUUCUGGCUACGUGCUCUUUCUGCAUCAGAGCUGCUUAUGGUGUGUAUAGAAACAAAAUCGAUGUUGUUAAUAAACAAGUUCUGUGGAGUUUUUUUGUUCUGUAGAAGUUACUCAGGAACAAACAGCAAUACCUUUCAUGCUCCUUCUGGCAUUGACAAAGUGGCAGAGGAUUGAAGUAGUCAUGACACAUGGUCUCUGUGACAGCAGAGCAUCCUUGUAGUUAUAAGAAUAGGCCAUUGGGUCAAAUUUGCGCAGCUUCUGGGCUGCAUUACAUCAUUUGCCAAACAGAAGUGUGUCUUUUGUGGUCAUACAGAACCUGUCAUGUUGACAGAAUAUAUGUUUAUAAAUAUUAAUUUGAURAUGUUUAUUGUGUCCUUCAGAAAGCCUGACAAAAUACUGUGUGCACUCUCUUUAAAGUAGAAUGGGUAGUAGGAGCUGCUUAAAUGUUGCUGGCUGGUUUCCAUGGUGACGAGAACUCCCCAGCUGCUGUUAGAGACAAGGGGAGUGUGCAGGAGGAGAGGUCCUGCAGAGCAGCUGCUCUUUCCCGUUGAACUCGUGAGAGAUUUCUGCUGUUCUGAAACAUCUGAGCCUGAGCCUUCAGCCAGCUGCUGCAUUGCACAAAUGGCCUGAAGUCACUUUGAAAGGUGUUCCUAGUGUGCAGCCAUGACUACCUUUACAUGCUAUGCUUACCAGGAUCCUUGUAACAAAAGUGGUACCCUUCACUAAGGACUUUAGAAAGCCAAAAUAACUUUGGUGCAAAACCUUCCAGGAUGUCUAAAGCUGCACUGCCCUCCAGGAGGCAUGGCAGUCAGCAGAAAAGCAGGAAGGCCCCUCAUGCUGCAGAAAAGGCUGUGGAAAUUGCACCUGGCUACAAGUUCAUACGGGCUAAAGACCAUCUCUCUGUAGUCCUAGAGGAUAAAUUUUUUGACAGAUUAUUAUCAUCUGUGGAUGAACAAGUUUCACCUGUCACUCCCUGUGCCCCAGAAAAGAAUGAAACCUCACUUCAAGAAGCUCAUAGGUUAGAAGUUGCUGGCUUGCAAGAACAUUUCCAGAAGUUACUGGAGCUUGAGAGAGCAGCUGCAGAAGAAAAACUGGGUAUUGGCAGACUUUGUGCAGAAUGCUGUGUAAUUGUGUUUAUAGUUAAGAUUUUAGCUUGUUAA